rnacentral:rRNA from 1 species
UACGUAGGGUGCGAGCGUUAAUCGGAAUUACUGGGCGUAAAGCGUGCGCAGGCGGUUUUGUAAGCCAGAUGUGAAAUCCCCGGGCUCAACCUGGGAAUGGCAUUUGGGACUGCAAGGCUGGAGUGCGGCAGAGGAGACUGGAAUUCCUGGUGUAGCAGUGAAAUGCGUAGAUAUCAGGAGGAAUACCGAUGGCGAAGGCAGGUCUCUGGGCUGACACUGACGCUCAUGCACGAAAGCGUGGGGAGC